AUGCGUGCGUGGGCAGCGGGUCGGCUUUCUAGCCGCCGUCUCUAUGGUUUUGCUGGGCGGGCUGGGAGCAGUUCAGCCCGGUGGUUUGGGGGUUUGUUUGUUUUUUGAAUGCUCAAGCUUUAUUAGAAGCAAGUCGUUGCGGACGGGCUCUGGCUGUAGCACGUGUCCCAGCCAGAGCUUGGGCCAUCAGCAGUGGGGGAGCGCGAGCGGCGGCGACUUGGCGUUGUUGCCUGAUGGCAAAAUCAGCUCAAUUGGCCUGAGUUUCAAGUACAGUCAAGUCUUGGGAAGUUCAUAACUGAAUUGUAGAAUGUCCAAACUACAGCAGCACCUGGUUUCCUGGUCGCCUGCCAUGGACAUGGGAAACAAAAAGUAUACAAUUGAAAAUGACACAAAUCCAGAAGAGACAUUUAAGGUAUCCACAUUUUAGCAAGACACUCCAAAUUUACGCUGAAACAGGCCUCCAAUGAACCAGCAGAACCAGACCUCCAGUGAACCAAUCCUGCAGUGACUGGUUAAGAUGAUCAAUGGAGAGCUUAGUAUCACCCUGACUCAUGAUAUAGGAAUUAAAAAAAACUGACAGUCACCAAGCACAAGCAUUCAAAAUUUGUGAGUUGGACCUUCCUUCUUCAUCUGUGAACAUUAAAUUGUUAACUGUGUUUCUGA